rnacentral:rRNA from 1 species
AUUGAACGCUGGCGGCAUGCCUUACACAUGCAAGUCGAACGGUAACGCGGGGGCAACCUGGCGACGGGUGGCGAACGGGUGAGUAAUACAUCGGAACGUGCCCAGUAGUGGGGGGAUAGCCCGGCGAAAGCCGGAUUAAUACCGCAUACGACCUACGGGUGAAAGCGGGGGAUCGCAAGACCUCGCGCUAUUGGAGCGGGCCGAUGUCAGAUUAGCUAGUUGGUGGGGUAAAAGCCUACCAAGGCGACGAUCUGUAGCUGGUCUGAGAGGACGACCAGCCACACUGGGACUGAGACACGGCCCAGACUCCUACGGAGGCAGCAGUGGGAAUUUUGGACAAUGGGGGGCAACCCUGAUCCAGCCGAUGCCGCGUGCGGGAAGAAGGCCUCGGUU